GAUAGAGGCGCGGUACUCAUCAGUACCCCCCGGCAAGGUCGUGCAGCCGCCGAUGGGGAAAGGGAUUAUCGCCGAAGCAGGGGGGAGCUGCCCGGGUUUCUCCUGCUGGGCCGUCAGAGAAUAUCUGCCGGACUGUCACAAUUCUUUGUGGAGCGCUAUCA
rnacentral:ncRNA from 1 species